AUUGAACGCUGGCGGCAUGCUUUACACAUGCAAGUCGAACGGCAGCAUGGGCUUCGGCCUGAUGGCGAGUGGCGAACGGGUGAGUAAUAUAUCGGAACGUACCCAAGAGUGGGGGAUAACGUAGCGAAGGUUACGCUAAUACCGCAUACGAUCCGAGGAUGAAAGUGGGGGACCUUCGGGCCUCAUGCUCCUGGAGCGGCCGAUAUCUGAUUAGCUAGUUGGUAGGGUAAAGGCCUACUAAGGCAUCGAUCAGUAGCUGGUCUGAGAGGACGACCAGCCACACUGGAACUGAGACACGGUCCAGACUCCUACGGGAGGCAGCAGUGGGGAAUUUUGGACAAUGGGGGCAACCCUGAUCCAGCAAUGCCGCGUGAGUGAAGAAGGCCUUCGGGUUGUAAAGCUCUUUUGUCAGGGAAGAAACGGUUGUGGCUAAUAUCCAUGGCUAAUGACGGUACCUGAAGAAUAAGCACCGGCUAACUACGUGCCAGCCGCCGCAGUAAUAC
rnacentral:rRNA from 1 species